GGCCCAAUGGCACAGUUGGUUAGUGCGCCUGCUCCAAAUAUAAAAACUUUUGUGUUUGUAAGCAUGAGAACCCUCGUUCGAUCCGGGGUUGGACCA